CCUACGGGCGGCAGCAGUGGGGAAUAUUGCACAAUGGGGGAAACCCUGAUGCAGCGACGCCGCGUGAGUGAAGAAGUAUUUCGGUAUGUAAAGCUCUAUCAGCAGGGAAGAAAAUGACGGUACCUGUUUAAGAAGCCCCGGCUAACUACGUGCCAGCAGCCGCGGUAAUACGUAGGGGACAAGCGUUAUCCGGAUUUACUGGGUGUAAAGGGAGCGUAGACGGCAGCACAAGUCUGGAGUGAAAUGCCGGGGCUUAACCCCGGAACUGCUUUGGAAACUGUGCAGCUAGAGUGCAGGAGAGGUAAGUGGAAUUCCUAGUGUAGCGGUGAAAUGCGUAGAUAUUAGGAGGAACACCAGUGGCGAAGGCGGCUUACUGGACUGUAACUGACGUUGAGGCUCGAAAGCGUGGGGAGCAAACAGGAUUAGAUACCCCAGUAGUC
rnacentral:rRNA from 1 species